AGAGUUUGAUCCUGGCUCAGGACGAACGCUGGCGGCGUGCUUAACACAUGCAAGUGGAGCGACGAACCAGGGCUUGCCCUGGGGCAGAGCCGCGAACGGGUGAGUAACACGUGGGUCACCUGCCUCGAUGACCGGGACAACCCGAGGAAACUCGGGCUAAUACCGGAUGUGCCCGCAAGGGGAAAGGAAGCUUCGGCCCCCGCAUCGAGAUGGGCCCGCGGCGCAUUAGCUUGUUGGUGGGGUAAUGGCCUACCAAGGCUUCGAUGCGUAGCUGGUCUGAGAGGACGAUCAGCCACACUGGGACUGAGACACGGCCCAGACUCCUACGGGAGGCAGCAGUGGGGAAUCUUGCGCAAUGCGCGAAAGCGUGACGCAGCAACGCCGCGUGGGGGAAGAAGGCUCUCGGGUUGUAAACCCCUUUCAGUUGGGACGAAGCUUCGCCGAUUAAUAGUCGGCCGGAGUGACGGUACCUUCACAAGAAGCACCGGCUAACUACGUGCCAGCAGCCGCGGUAAUACGUAGGGUGCAAGCGUUGUCCGGAAUUAUUGGGCGUAAAGAGCGUGUAGGCGGCUCGACAAGUCCGCUGUGAAAGUCCAGGGCUCAACCCUGGAAAGCCGGUGGAUACUGUCGAGCUAGAGUCCGGAAGGGGCGAGUGGAACUCCUGGUAGCGGUGAAAUGCGCAGAUAUCAGGAAGAACACCAAUGGCGAAGGCAGCUCGCUGGGACGUGACUGACGCUGAGACGCGAAAGCGUGGGGAGCGAACAGGAUUAGAUACCCCAGUAGUCC
rnacentral:rRNA from 1 species